GAGAAGAAGAAGUUGGUUCUUUGGGCUACACACCCGAGGAUUAGGGUUCGACUCCCUAGCUUCUUCC
rnacentral:tRNA from 2 species